rnacentral:lncRNA from 1 species
UCUGGAAGAGAUUCAGAGGGUAGCCAAUCACUAUAGAAAGUCGACUGAUAAUGAAGCCUGGAGAGCAUUUGGAUCAGUCCGAUAGAUGAAUGGGAGAGCUCAUUAUUGGAGAAGUCCGGAUGGCAUGAUAGGAGUUCGUCCGUUGGGGAAAUCUGGAGGACACUGUGGAAGGUCGACCACUAGAGAAGUUCGGAUGGUAUUAUGGAAGCUCGGACAGCCGGGGGAGUUCAGAAAGACACCGCACAAGGUCAGAAAUCGGAAGAGCCCUGAGAGGGUCGGCCUUUUACGAACUUCAGCUGGGG